rnacentral:siRNA from 1 species
CAAAUUGCCGUUGUCAAGAAGC